GCGGGUAUAGUUCAGUGGCAGAACCUCAGCCUUCCAAGCUGAUGAUGCGGGUUCGAUUCCCGCUACCCGCUCCA
rnacentral:tRNA from 1 species